AUGGCUCUCUUUAAAAUGCUUAUAGAAGGAGACGCUGAUGGGGACCAUAGACAGCGAGCCUGUGUCCCAGUGGGACUUCCACUGACUUUGGCUAAAGAAAGAAAAUCAAGUUCUUUACAUUUUGGUGGAGAAUCCAAGGGGCUACUUUUCUCCUGCCACAAGACUAAGGUUGGAUGUUCCCUUGGUGCACUUGCUGCAUUAUCUUCUGCCUUCUUCUUCCUCACUCAUCUCAUUUUCCUGCAGCUCUGCUACCUCAGUGGCAGAUGUUACCGUAAUCUCUUCUACAAUAUUCUGAAUGACUCCUUCCUCAGGUUGUGCUCCCACAACUUGGAUAAUUUUGAUCUCAGUAUCUGUUUCACUUUCCAACUGACCAUUUUGGUUAUUACCGGCUUCCAUUCCAGUCUCUGCUUCUGUGUCAGGUUCUAAACCCUGAUCCUUAGCACUGACUUCUUCUGAAUAAGAAUCCUCUGAAUCUGGUUCUAAACCCUGAUCCUUAGCAAUGACCUCUUCUGGAUGAGAAUCCACCGAACCUGGUUCUAAACCCUGAUCCUUAGCACUGACUUGUUCUGAAUGAGAAUCCACUGAACCUGGUGCUAAACCCUGAUCCUUAGCAAUGACCUCUUCUGGAUGAGAAUCCACCGAACCUGGUUCGAAGCCCUGAUCCUUAGCACUGACCUCUUCUGAAUGAGAACCCACUGAACCUGGUUCUAAAGGCUGACCCUGAGCACUGAGCUCUUCUGAAUGAGAAUCCAUUGAUCUGGAUUCUGAAGUUGUUUCAGAGAAAGGAACAUCCAGAAUUCCUGCAACUGGCUUGUCGCUUUCAUUUUGGACACAUGCUAAUUUCUCCGGUUCAACGUUUGGCGUAUUGUUUCUUGGGACGCCACCGACAGAUUCAGCACCAUCGCUGGCCUCUUUCCGAUCAGCGGCAUCCUUAACGAAAGGCAGCGGGGUGCUUGUUGCACAAGGCUCUGUGCUCAGCCUCUCGGCCAAAUGAAUCUCUUCAGCAACAGGAUCCAAGGCCAGGGCCACGCUUACUUUACUGAGGCUCUUCCUUGGCUCUUUUAACUUUGGUUCUGGAGUGCUUGCCCUUUUCGGUUCAGGGGAUACUUUUUCCACUUGGGGAGACAGCUUUACAUCACAGCAUUUGCAGCUCCUGGAUUUCCUUGUCCGCUUGCUUCUUUUGUGCUGGCAUUCAGACACAUCUAGAAAUCUCUUGGGUGAAGGAAAGGCACCGACAGUGGUAGCAGAAGCAUCUUCUUUUGAGCGCCACUUGAGUUGUUAGGUACCACAGAACUUGUCGAGAGUACUAGCUUCCUGCCUGUUUUCUAAAACAGGCUCUGGAGUGGAUUCCUUCCUGUCAGCAGGCUUUCUCCCUGUAUCUGAAGAGGCUCCAGGACGUGUCGGCCCUGAGUUUUCUUUAAGGUUCACACUGGGACUUAACGGGGAAGUAUCUCUUUCUUCCUUUAUGCAGAUUUCUUUUGCAUUAGUAGACAUCGGAGGCACUUCUGUCUCUCCGCCAGAAGAUAUUUUCUGUUUUCCUACUGACCUGGUUUGGAUUUCUACUGCAGCUUGGGAAGAAAGCUCUUGGCUGUCUGGCUCUUCCUUUGCUUGGUUCCCAGGGGAAUCCUUUUUUUUCAAUUUCCCAGACCGUUUCCUCUUUGCUCCUUCCUCUCUUGUUUCACCGAUAUCAGAUCCAGAGUUUUCCAUACUGGCAAGUAAUUCUUGUGAAGCUGCUCUUCUUGUAUGAUACCGCGGAAAUACUUUUAGUUUCUCCACAGAGGCAUCUGGGCUUGGUUCUUCAAGGUCAGAUGCAGCAGGGCUGCGUUCAGGUUUCCCAAGACUCAGGUCCAACUGUUCCUGAUGGUUCUCUCUGGAGUUUAGGUUUCCUGUAGCAUUGUUUACAGGCACACGCAUUGGUGCAUCUGCUGCUUUUUCAAGUUUUUCAGCCUUUUCUUUCGCCCAGAAGUCUCCCUGUUUUGUGCCAUCUUCUUUGGUGGAGUCUUUUCAUCAUCUUUUUGCUUGUCCUUUUGUUGCUUGUUCUCUUUAUCUUGGCUAUCCACAGCUCCAUCACUUUCCGCUUUUCGUCUUAAAGAACGCCUUAGUGUUUUUUGGUUGAGUGAAAUGUCAGGACUUUGGUUAACAUCAGACACCGCUUCUUCACAAACUUCUACUUCUGGAGAUGUGUCCUCUUUGUGCUCUACACUUGGCCCCACAUUUUCAUUUUUAACUAUGUCCAGGAGGACUUUACUCUCCACUGUUGUGCUGUCAGCCACACUGGGGAUCUGAGACUGAUCACCCAGCAAAUGGUCUGCUUUUUCAGUGCCCACAGAUAAUUCCUGCUUCUCCUUGCAAAGCUUAUCAGAAACCUGAUUUUUCCCUCUUGGUCUGACUGCAUUUGCUCUGAAGUUUUGUCAUCCGGAGUUUUACUCUGUCUAAGGCUUGACGUCUUCAUCUCAACCGUGUUGGUAGACUGCAAUUUUGAAUCAGGAAUAUUUUCUUCUUUGAUUCUUUUUGAUUUGACACACAUCUCUAGAGCAUUUAAGAACUCUAAGCGCGUCCUCUUUGUGCCAGCGACCGUUUUUCUUGCUCUGAGUUUUACACCAUCUUUAUUCUCCGGAUUUGACUUUUCUUUUGAAGAGACAUCUGUAGCAACUGCGCUUUCCUUCUGCAUAAACGGACUUGUUAAUGUUAUAGAAAUAUUACUAAAAACUGAAGGACUGAAAGGUCUGUUCUCUAAGUCAUUGAAUUUUUCCAAAGUAACAAAGGCUUGCCUUCUGUUCACCACUGCCUGUGGUGUUGGUGAAAUUAUAUCACUAGAACUUGAAGAGUUGCUGCUGCAAUUAGGGGGAUUUUCAUUCAAAGUAGAAUCUAAUAUCGGAGAUUGUACUGCAACACAGACAUUCAACUCCUGAUUUUUCUGAUCCAGCUUCUCUUUCUGAAAGUUAUUAGGUUGCUCAGUAACAGUAGAAGUAAUUUUCUCCAGAGAUAUAUUUGAUUUGUAAUUUCCAGUUACUGCAUGCGGAAUGACAAGCUGAUGACUUGUUGCCUCUUUUUUCUGCAAUUGAACAAUUUAAAACAUUAGAUAUUAUGAGUUUACUGCUUCCAUCAUUAAUAUACCAC
ensembl:lncRNA